rnacentral:lncRNA from 1 species
UAUAGACCAAAACAACAAAUUCUUUCAGUUCAAGAAUCUCAACUAAAAGCUUAAUGUCUUUAUUCAACCCAUGUUCGAAUCGUUUACACAUAAUUUCUUCAGUGGAAAUGCAUUCUCAAGCAUAUUUACUCAGUCUCACGAAUUCUCUUUCGUACUCGGUUACUGUCAUACGACCCUGUUUCAAUUAUAGAAAUUCUUUGCACUUUUGAUCAAGAAACCGCUAACUUAUAUAUUUCUUUCUGAAUUUAAUCUAAAAGAAUUCUCACAUUAUCCAUUCUCU